CUCCAGCUGGGUGGCAUGGCAAGUUACAGCUCCUGGUAGUAAUUUGGUAUCAGAAGGGAUUCAAGGGUCCUACUGAGCUUGAAAGGAAGUGGAUUGUGAUGGUUCCUGGUUGGUUGUUGUCCAAGAAGAUAACUGAGAUUCUAAGUUAUAACACUUAGACUACAACACUGUUUUAAAGAUGAUACUACUAAGAGGAGGAAUGUGUUUAAAAAUAUAGGCGAAACAAGCAAAAACAACCACACACACAGAAUUUAAUAAAGAAAAGGAAAAAAGGAAGACUCCCUGUUUCUGUUGUUCAUACAGAAAAGGUGAAGUUCUUCAGCUGGAGAGCUCCAUGUGUCUGCGUCAGUCAGCCCAGUGACUCAGUGUUGUGAUGCUAAUGUAGGUCUGACUGGUUUGGAAGCCCAAAUAUAUAUAACAGAGAAAAACUCGGCACAGCUUCGUUUGAGAGAACAGAUAAUUGUAUUUCUCUCUGAACAUCUGAGGACUUACCUGCACAAUAUUCCUAGAUGAAUUUAAGGGAUGUCCUUGCUGAUUUUAGAAAAAUUGUACCUCCUUCACUUUAACUUCUUUUACCUGGAAAGCAAAUCUUCAAAGUUGCUGUCUACUUCUAGAGAUAAUGUAUCUGAAGACCACAUAAUGUAUCCCGUAGGGGAAGCUUGCUGGCAAUGUUUCCCUGUUGAACUCUCAGGUUUGGAUAUGCCUCUGAUUUAUUUGCUCUUACACAGUUGUGUGGUGGGCAAUAUUAUGCUGGCAAGGAAUAUGUGCUACAAAACCUCUGCUGUGUUGCAGCUUGUCAUACUGCAGCGCGCUGUCACCAACAGCCCCUGAGAACAUCUUGCCUUGGAUGGCACAGCCAUCCUCAGCUGCCAGUUGUGCAGCCCUGAUAAUGCCAGGAGAUUUUGCUAAUACUAUCCUCCAACAAUCUGGGGUAAAUAAAUCUUUAAUUCUCUCCUGGAGAGUUUGUACUUGAAGGUGGAGGGGAAAGAAACCCUUGGGUUAAAGUAAAAAAAAAUAAAAAAAAUAAAAAAAAUCUUGCUUGUUGGAAGAUCGUUUGCAUCUCUGUGCCAUGCAGGCAAUGAGGCUGGCAGUGAUAACAUGACAUAAUUCUCCCAGUGUGCUUAGUAGGGGAGCAUCUUAUCAGUACCUAACGCUGAAAUAUUACUUGGAUGUUUUUUCUUGGGUUGUACUCACAUGAUUACAAAAGCAACUUACCGGCAAAGAAGUUUACUUUGUGCAACGUUAUUUUUAAGUAUUUUACUAGCAAAAAAGCUUUUUACAAACACUGCAAAAUUCUUGCAAGACAGUGGAGAUAAAAUAUCAGUUUAGACACAGCUUAAUGGAUCCUAGCAGUGAUUGGCAGGUUUGGGGUAGGUGAAAGUGGGAAGGGUCUUGGCUGUCCUGUGGGAUAAGCUGCCUGUACCAAUGGUAUGGCAGGAAUGUAGCUGGAGUGAUCUUAGCAUGACAGCACAGGCUCUCCCUUGACUCACAUUAUCAUCUGACGAGAAGUGAAAGGGGCCAGAAAUUCAGAUUCCAGCUUAAGCAAAUAGGAGGAAUUUACCACGUGUCCAAACAAGCUGUGAGCCCAGGAUAUCAGCUUGGAGGCCUUGUGGGCAGUCAGACAUCAGUUGUCCUGGCUCAGCUUCUGCUGAGAUAACAGGGCUCUAGCUUGGAACCUUCUGGGAGCAGCUGGGCAAGCUGGCCAGAUCUGUCUUCUGCUGCAGAGAGUAAUCUGAUUUGUUUGUUCCCUGCAUUCUCAGCCACCUUGCUGAAUUGUGUAACUGGAGAGGA